rnacentral:rRNA from 1 species
UACGUAGGGGGCAAGCGUUGUCCGGAAUUAUUGGGCGUAAAGCGCGCGUAGGCGGUUUCUUAAGUCUGAUGUGAAAUCUUGCGGCUCAACCGCAAGCGGUCAUUGGAAACUGGGGAACUUGAGUACAGAAGAGGAGAGCGGAAUUCCACGUGUAGCGGUGAAAUGCGUAGAGAUGUGGAGGAACACCAGUGGCGAAGGCGGCUCUCUGGUCUGUAACUGACGCUGAGGUGCGAAAGCGUGGGGAGCGAAC